rnacentral:rRNA from 1 species
AGUGAACGCUGGCGGCGUGCCUAACACAUGCAAGUCGAGCGAGCUUUUACAGAUCACCGUAAGAGCUAGCGGCAGACGGGUGAGUAACACGUGGGAAAUCUUCCCUGAAGAGGAGGAUACCCCCGAGAAAUCGGGGCUAAUACUCCAUAAGACCACAGCCUGGCAUCAGGCAGGGGUCAAAGGUCCGCAAGGGCCACUUUGGGGAUGGUCCCGCGUCCUAUCAGCUAGUUGGUGAGGUAAUGGCCCACCAAGGCAAUGACGGGUAGCCGGCCUGAAAGGGUGAUCGCCCACACUGGAACUGAGACACGGUCCAGACUCCUACGGGAGGCUG